UGUCACAACAACUUGACAUAAUUCGGUGUCAGUGGUGAACACCAAAUCCAAAUAUUUAUUGUUUUGAUUCGGUAUAUCACAAACUUGCAUCAGUCCAGACGACGAGAAUCCAUCAACAAUGGCUACUUCACUUUGCGAAACAAUUCGCUCAGGUUGAAAUCUCCACUCACGAGCACAGUGUCACCCGGCUGAACGAUGCUCAUAACGGAGUCAACAAACACAACAAACGAGUGGUAACGAGCGAUAUUCGAGCUCGAGCAACCUCUGUACUGAUGAUGCGACGAUGGACCGCAACAAGCACCCCGCCGCCAGUUCGCUUAUCGCUAUUAAGCGUGUUUCUGUCGCAACGAUAGACCGAAAAACACGAAGGAAAUAGUAUACCGUCUUGUACAGAAGAGUCCAGGGUUUCCCACGAUCAGCGGAGCAACAGGACGAAACUCUAUUCCAUCGGUAACAACAGAUAGAAUUCCUCACACAAAUUUCCGUUAUUGCUGCAUCGCAACCGUCGGCUGGAUGGGAGCAGCGAGCGGUGUGGAGAAACAGUCCCGCUGCUGCGAUGGACUAUCUCGUCGUCGCUCGUCUCGAAAAAUAGUGUUGUUACGUUCGGUACCCACAAACUCGCGGAAAUAAAUUCCCUUUUGCCAGCUUGUUGGCUGCAUUGCUCUUUCCUUCCACUUCAUCCCCACUCCGAUCUUGAACGAUA